ensembl:misc_RNA Metazoa_SRP Metazoan signal recognition particle RNA
GCUGGGUGUGGUGGUGUGCACUUGUAAUCUCAGCUACUUGGGAGGCUGAGGCAGGGGAAUCGCUUGAACCCAGGAGGUGGAGAGGGCAGUGAGCCAAGAUCGCACCACUGCACUCCAGCCUGGGUGACAGAGCGAGACUCCGUCUCAA